GGGGUGGAAGUGCAGCAAUGCAUGGAGCUGACCAGUACUAAUCGGUCGAGGGCUUAUCCAA
rnacentral:rRNA from 1 species